CUUACACAUGCAAGUCGAACGGCAGCCGGUGCUUGCACCUGGUGGCGAGUGGCGAACGGGUGAGUAAUACAUCGGAACAUGUCCUGUAGUGGGGGAUAGCCCGGCGAAAGCCGGAUUAAUACCGCAUACGAUCUACGGAUGAAAGCGGGGGACCUUCGGGCCUCGCGCUAUAGGGUUGGCCGAUGGCUGAUUAGCUAGUUGGUGGGGUAAAGGCCUACCAAGGCGACGAUCAGUAGCUGGUCUGAGAGGACGACCAGCCACACUGGGACUGAGACACGGCCCAGACUCCUACGGGAGGCAGCAGUGGGGAAUUUUGGACAAUGGGCGAAAGCCUGAUCCAGCAAUGCCGCGUGUGUGAAGAAGGCCUUCGGGUUGUAAAGCACUUUUGUCCGGAAAGAAAUCCUUGGUUCUAAUAUAGCCGGGGGAUGACGGUACCGGAAGAAUAAGCACCGGCUAACUACGUGCCAGCAGCCGCGGUAAUACGUAGGGUGCGAGCGUUAAUCGGAAUUACUGGGCGUAAAGCGUGCGCAGGCGGUUUGCUAAGACCGAUGUGAAAUCCCCGGGCUCAACCUGGGAACUGCAUUGGUGACUGGCAGGCUAGAGUAUGGCAGAGGGGGGUAGAAUUCCACGUGUAGCAGUGAAAUGCGUA
rnacentral:rRNA from 1 species